GAAGAAAGAAGGAGAUUGUAUGCUUUGCAGUUAUCCCUACUAGAAGGAUCCAAGACCAAAUUCAUAUCAUCUACCUACACACCAAACCCAAUUAUCUGGGUACCUACGCAUACCUGGAAAUUUCCAAGUGUUGAAAUAACAGAGGAGUCAUGGAUGUCUGGGAAUGAGAAUCUGUCUUCAGACCAGGAAUCUCACAGGUCUCCAGAGCAUGCUGCUCUCAACAGAAGGGAUUUGCAAACAUGGCAACGUUGGAUCCACCAGGGGGAGCAGUUCACCAGCACAAGACAGGCCUUCCCCAAAGGAAGUCGCUGUAGGCGCCUCUUCCUCUCAAUUUAUACAGCUGACAAGGACUCUGAGUUUUAUCAGCUCUACUAGAUGUGGCAAUCAUAUACCUCACACUGACUUCAUACGGCCAACCUCACGUUGGUGGGAUGCAUGUUGAUCCGUCAGGAUCACAACUGUCCGCAAGUAGACUUUUC
rnacentral:lncRNA from 1 species